ACCUUGGUAAGGAUGAUCUACUACUCAGUUGGGGAGGCUCACGGAAUCUAGACACCAUAGAGGAUGUUCGACCCGCACCUAUAAACCCUAUCGAUCCUGCUAACGGGAUAUGGGCUACAAAGGUAACUCGGAAAUGUCACGUUCCUUGCUACUACCACGGUCCACCUAGACAGGGGAUAUCUAUGAGUAUCCUAGCCCAAACACCACGUUUAUGCUAGAGAUGAUUACUCUAAACUCUACGCGAAGAGAUCAAAGUAAACUCAUAAACCAAAGAACAAUAAAACAAAGAACUUACUAGAAUUUAGAAGUCGACAUACUGAAGAAUCCUAGGAGCAAGCCUCGGGUUAAGAGACUUGAUCCCGCAGGUACAACCUCGGAGUAGACACCGACAGGCCGGGCUUCCUCCGAUCUACACCUCCACUCUAUCUCUCUCAAUCUAGUAGAACUAAGUCUACUCUCACAUUGGAUGCUAAGCCCUA
rnacentral:lncRNA from 1 species